rnacentral:rRNA from 1 species
GUAGAAAUAAUAAUUCUUAAAAAAAACUAAAAGGACGCGGUAACCUUGACCGUGAUAAUGUAGCAUAAUCACUCGCCAUUUAAUUGAUGGAUAGUAUGAAUGGUUGAACGAAUAUUCCCCUGUCUUAGACAAAAUAAUAAAAAAUUGAAAUAAUAGUUAAGAUGCUAUUUUUUACUGUAAGACGAAAAGACCCUAUAGAGCUUAACUAUAACCUUUUUAUAUAAAAAGAAAAUAAAUUCUAUACUUAAAAAGGUUGGUAGUUUAGUUGGGGCGACUGUCUUCUAUAUUGAACGAAGACAAGCAAUGUUAAUAAAAAACUUAUUGUAUAACAAAAAUGUUUAACAAUUAUAAAAAUAGGCUAUAAUGACCCGUUAAUACUUAAUAAAAAGAAUAACGAUUAAUUAAUAAAAGCUACCUUAGGGAUAACAGGAUUAUUUCAUUUCAGAGUUCAUAUCGAAAAUGAAGUUUGUCACCUCUAUGUUGAAUUAAGAUAUCCUGAUAAUGCAGAAGUUAUCAAA